GUAGGUGAACCUGCGGAAGGAUCAUUAAUAUAUAUAAGGCCACGGGGCAAAGCUCUCCGAAAGGACAGUUGGUGGAUGUUCGGUUCCACCGGCUGGGGCAGACUGGAGAACAAUGUCAGCGAUACACUGCCUGACCUCUUUUCGACCUCUGCUAUCGAGCUUGCUGUCUGAACCCUACCCUUGCUUUUUGCGCACCUAUUGUUUCCUCGGCAGGCUUGCCUGCCAGUAGGACCCUCUUAAACCCUUUGUA
rnacentral:misc_RNA from 1 species